rnacentral:tRNA from 1 species
GGGUUAUUAGUCCAAACAAGACACUUGAUUUCGGCUCAAGAGAUUGAGGUGCAACCCCUCAGUUACCCU